ensembl:lncRNA
CCUCCUCGCCCCAAGAUGGCGGCGGGCGGCGCUCCCGCCGCUCCCCCUCCCCCCGCGGGCGGUUCCCGGCGCGACCCCCGCGGGGUCCGUCCCGUCCGCAGUGCCCCCCCCGCCUGCGGGCUCCGCUCGGAGCCGUCCCCGUGACGGGCGGUGGGCGCGGCCCCGGCCCCGGCCCCGGUCACGACCCGGCGCUGCGGGCGCUGCUCGGCCUCACGCGGGGCCUCGGGAGGCUGCGGGAACUGCUGAGGAACGCGCGGCGUGCGGCGGCGCCGUUGCGGGGUUUCCUGCCCGAUGAGCUGGCGGCGCCGCGGAGGUCGCGGAGAGGUUCCACCCCCCCCCCCCCCCCCCCCCCGCGCUCUGCGGUGACACCGAUGACAGCAGCAGCGAUGACAGCAGUGACCACAGCAGCACCCGGGGCAGCCCGGCCACCAUCGGGGCCACCAUCGGGGCCACCACCACCAGGGCCACCACCAGGGCCACCAAUAGGGCCACCAAUAGGGCCACCAGCGGAGCCAGGGCCACCAUGAGGGCCACCAGUGGGGUCAGGGCCACCACCAGGGCCACCAAUAGGGCCACCAGCGGGGUCAGGGCCACCAAUAGGGCCACCAGUAGGGUCAGGGCCACCAGUGGGGCCACCAGCAGGGUCAGGGCCACCAUGAGGGCCACCAGCAGGGUUAGGGCCACCAGUGGGGUCACCAAUGGGGUCACCAAUGGGGUCACCAGCGGGGCCACCAAUGGGGCCACCGUGAGGGCCAGCAGUGAGGUCAGGGCCACCAGCAGGGUCAGGGCCACCAAUGGGGUCAGGGCCACCAGUGGGGUCACCAAUAGGGCCAGCAGUGGGGUCAGCAGCAGGGUCAGGGCCACCAUGAGAGCCACCAGUGGGGUCAGGGCCACCAGAGGGGCCAGCAAUGGGGCCACCAGUGGGGUCAGGGCCACUGAUGGGGCCAGCAAUGGGGUCAGCAGCGGGGUCACCAGUGGGGUCACCAGUGGUGUCACCAGCGGGGCCAGCAAUGGGGCCAGCAAUGGGGUCAGGGCCGCCGAUGGGGCCACCAAUGGGGCCACCAGCGGGGUCACAGCCAGCAAUGGGGCCUCCAGAGGGGUCAGGGCCACCGAUGGGGCCACCAGUGGGGCCACCAGUGGGGUCAGGGCCAGCAAUGGGGCCAGCAAUGGGGUCACCAGUGGGGUCAGGGCCACCGAUGGGGCCUCCAGUGGGGUCAGGGCCACCGAUGGGGCCUCCAGCGAGGUCAGGGCCAGCAAUGGGGCCUCCAGCGGGGUGAGGGCCAGCAAUGGGGCCACCAGCGGGGUGAGGGCCAGCAAUGGGGCCAGCAAUGGGGCCAGCAGUGGGGCCGUCCCGGCGCCCCCCCCGGCGCGGCAGCGCGGCACAGUGCUGCGGCGGCUGCGGCAGUUUGUGAUGCCGCUGAUCAGCGCCCGCUCCUCCCGCCCCAUCCGCCCCCCCCGGCGCUUCGUGGCCGAUGGGGACGCGGGGAGGGAGGGGGGGGGCGCCGCUGGGGGCUCUGCGGCCGGGGGUGGGGGGAGGGCGAAUGGGGGCAGCCCGAAGGGUGGAGGUGACCACGGGGUGGGAUGUGGGGACAGUGGGACGGCCAUUAGGGGCAGUGUGAGGAGUGUUGGGGACAAUGGGGACAGUGGGACUGCCCUUAGGGGCAGUGUGAGGGACAGUGGGGACAAUGGGGACAGUGGGACGGCCAUUAG